rnacentral:rRNA from 1 species
AACAAACGCUGGCGGCGUGCCUAAUACAUGCAAGUCGAACGGGGAAAGCUUUCGGGUGAGUACUAGUGGCGCACGGGUGAGGAACGCGUGGAUAAUCUGCCUUAGAGUGGGGGAUAACUAGUCGAAAGAUUAGCUAAUACCGCAUAAGACCACAGGAGCUGCGGCUCAAGGGGUCAAAGGUUUUUCGCUCUAAGAUGAGUCCGCGUAAGAUUAGCUAGUUGGUGAGGUAACGGCUCACCAAGGCGACGAUCUUUAACUGGUCUGAGAGGAUGAUCAGUCACACUGGAACUGAGACACGGUCCAGACUCCUACGGGAGGCAGCAGUAGGGAAUAUUGCACAAUGGAGGAAACUCUGAUGCAGCGACGCCGCGUGAGUGAUGAAGGCCUUCGGGUCGUAAAGCUCUGUCGCAGGGGAAUAACACAAUGACGGUACCUGAAAAACAAGCCACGGCUAACUACGUGCCAGCAGCCGCCGUAAGAC